UGGUCGGUUAGCUCAGUUGGCAGAGCACCUGCUCGACACGCAGGGGGUCAGAGGUUCAAGUCCUCUACCGACCAUUUU
rnacentral:tRNA from 1 species